GACUCUCUGGAGAAUCUCACGUAUGAGUGGGUGCCGAAGGUGUAAGCAGCCGGCGAUCAGACGCCGUCCCUGCGAAUCUCUCAGGCAAAAGGACAGAGUACGA
rnacentral:ncRNA from 1 species